CCUACGGGAGGCAGCAGUGGGGAAUAUUGCACAAUGGGCGAAAGCCUGAUGCAGCAACGCCGCGUGAAGGAAGACGGUUUUCGGAUUGUAAACUUCUAUCCAUAGGGAAGAAAGAAAUGACGGUACCUAAAUAAGAAGCCCCGGCUAACUACGGGCCAGCAGCCGCGGAAAUACGUAGGGGGCAAGCGUUAUCCGGAAUUACUGGGUGUAAAGGGAGCGUAGGUGGCAAGGUAAGCGAUAUGUGAAAGCCUUAAGCUUAACUUAAGGAUUGCACAACGAACUAUCUAGCUAGAGUACAGGAGAGG
rnacentral:rRNA from 1 species